ACAUUUCUCUGAAAAUUGUUCAAUUCGUUUCUCUGCAUAAUGCUUUGUGCGGUCAAACAAAAAGAAAACGCAUCUUGGCCGCAUUUGGUGCUCUUUAGGAGAUAUUUUCUCAUAUAUCUUGAGUGGUCGAAUCUUCACUGUAGUAAUUGUGCUUGCAAUGCGAUCGUUUUUGCCCUUGUGCUCGGAUGCUUGAUUUCCCAUUACGAAAACUAAUGUAGUCAAAGUUUGCACCGAAGAUAUGGAAGAGUAUUUUUAACAUAUGCCUGUUAUUUUAUUCAGUGAUGAUAAAUGACUCAUUUGAG